CCUACGGGAGGCAGCAGUGCGGAAUAUUGGUCAAUGGGCGGAAGCCUGAACCAGCCAAGUCGCGUGAGGGAAGACGGUACUACGGAUGGUAAACCUCUUUUGCCGGGGAGCAACUGGGUCCUUGCGAGGGCCCGAUGAGAGUACCCGGAGAAAAAGCAUCGGCUGACUCCUGGCCAGCAGCUGCGGUACUACGGAGGAUGCGGGCGUUAGCCGGAUUUAUUGGGUUUACAGGGUGAGUAGGCGGGCUGUGAAGUCAGCGGUCAAAUGUCGGGGCCAAACCCCGGCCUGCCGUGGAAACUGGCGGCCUUGAGUGGGCGAGAAGUAUGCGGAAUGCGUGGUGUAGCGGUGAAAUGCAUAGAUAUCACGCAGAACUCCGAUUGCGAAGGCAGCAUACCGGCGCCCGACUGACGCUGAGGCACGAAAGCGUGGGUAUCGAACAGGAUUAGAUACCCGAGUAGUC
rnacentral:rRNA from 1 species